rnacentral:rRNA from 1 species
CCCCCUGGACAGAAACUGCACACUCAGAUGCGAAAGUCCGGGGGAGCACACAGGGAUUAGAUACCCCGGUAGUUCACCCCCGUAAACGAUGUCUACUUGGAGGUUGUGGCCUUGAGCCGUGGAUUUAGGAGCUAACGAGUUAAAGUAGACCGCUGGGGAGUACGGUUGCAAGAUUAAAAAUUCAAAUGAAUUGACGGGGGCCCGCACAAGCGGUGGAGCAUGUGGUUUAAUUGAUGCAACGCGAAGAACCUUACCUACUCUUGACAUCCAGAGAACUUAGCAGAGAUGCUUUGGUGCCUUCGGGAACUCUGAGACAGGUGCUGCAUGGCUGUCGUCAGCUCGUGUUGUGAAAUGUUGGGUUAAGUCCCGCAACGAGCGCAACCCUUAUCCUUGUUUGCCAGCGAGUAAUGUCGGGAACUCCAGGGAGACUGCCGGUGAUAAACCGGAGGAAGGUGGGGACGACGUCAAGUCAUCAUGGCCCUUACGAGUAGGGCUACACACGUGCUACAAUGGCGCAUACAGAGGGCGGCCAACUUGCGAAAGUGAGCGAAUCCCAAAAAGUGCGUCGUAGUCCGGAUUGGAGUCUGCAACUCGACUCCAUGAAGUCGGAAUCGCUAGUAAUCGUGAAUCAGAAUGUCACGGUGAAUACGUUCCCGGGCCUUGUACACACCGCCAGUCACACCACGGGAGUAGAGUGCUGAACGAGGCUCAGGAUAAGUCGUAACAAGUAACCAUGCUAGACGUAUUAUGUGC